UUCAAGCCAUGAAGAAAAUCUGGUCCAAGAAACGCUUUCAGAAAACCGGACACUCUAACCGAACAUUUGGGCGGUUCACUCAUGUGAAGUUUUCCGCUCCUGUCGGAAGCAAAGUUAUG